UAUUAUUCUACAUAUUAUUCUGCAAUGUAGAAAAUAGUAAAAAUAAAGAAAAGAUCCUAGAAUGAGUAGGUGUAUCCAAACUUUUACAUUUACAUUUAAGUCAUUUAGCAGACGCUCUUGACUGGUACUGUACAUCAACCAUUACACUGUAUAUAAGCUACACACAUUAACCAUUAAGCAGAGCGAGGUUUGGAGCAUGCCCAAUUUGACUGGAGCAGAGCGAGGUGUGGAGCAUGCCCAAUUUGACUGGAGCAGAGCGAGGUGUGGAGCAUGCCCAAUUUGACUGGAGCAGAGCGAGGUGUGGAGCAUGCCCAAUUUGACUGGAGCAGAGCGAGGUGUGGAGCAUGCCCAAUUUGACUGGAGCAGAGCGAGGUGUGGAGCAUGCCCAAUUUGACUGGAGCAGAGCGAGGUGUGGAGCAUGCCCAAUUUGACUGGAGCAGAGCGAGGUGUGGAACAUGCCCAAUUUGACUGGAGCAGAGCGAGGUGUGGAGCAUGCCCAAUUUGACUGGAGCAGAGCGAGGUGUGGAGCAUGCCCAAUUUGACUGGAGCAGAGCGAGGUGUGGAACAUGCCCAAUUUGACUGGAGCAGAGCGAGGUGUGGAACAUGCCCAAUUUGACUGGAGCAGAGCGAGGUAUGGAGC